AAUAUCCUACUUUAUGACAUAGGCUAUAAUCUGUCAUAAAGUGGCAUUAUAAUUGAAUUCUUGUCGGUCGCAAUUAGUCGCGUUAAAGAUCGGAAUGGCACCUCAAGUCCACAGUUUGUCUAUACCUACUUUCGCGUUUCUACUGGUGGCCAUGCUAGGGCUACAGGUAGUACAACCUACGCUACGUAUAUAUGAGCGCGCGGUACUGUUUGUAACAUGAGUCCUCAUUCAUAAUAAUGCCACCUACAUGAUGCAAUCACUAUAAUAAUGUGAAGACUUUGUUUUAGUAUUCAUUCUUGCGUCGAUAAGCACUGUAAUUAGUUACUCACGUCUACAUAAUUUACAAAACAAAACUUAACUUAUAUUAUAGUUACUCACGUGUACAUAAUUUACGUAUUUUUUGGUAAUAGAGUCUUGGACCUGACUACACAACGAUAAUGGAACGCGUAGAAGAUUUGACUGCUACAUCCGAAGACAAUGUCUACCGACAUGAAUAUGGGGAUACUUUCCAGUAUGCUCAAGAUCCUUUGGAAGGAUUUACUGAAGAGUUUUUAAAAAUGAAAGCUCAGCAAAAGCCGAACGCUGAGAUUCGGGAACGUCGUCCAGCAAAAUUAAGAAAAAAAUGUGUUUCUAAAAGUGCACUAAGUAAACUACAUAAUAUCCCAGUUCAUUCGUUUGUGGUAAACAGCGUUCCCAAAAAAGGUUUCCGUCUGAUAAAGAUCUCAGUGUUUGAUUUAGAUGGAUCCCAGCAACAUUGUGACAGUAUAGACGAUGAUAAUUUUUUGUUAUCCGCACAAUAUGUUGUGAAUGAAAACGGUGAUGAAAUAAUGGACCAAACCGAGAAGUUAGUCAGUAAUAUAUCAAAAAAAAUAUGUAAUUACAGUUAUACGAGUUGGUUUUAGUUUACUUUGGUAUUAAGUAUUUGUUUUAGCUGUAGGGUCGCAAUAGACUUUAGAAUGAAUAAGUCGAUAAAAUUGCAAGAUAUAUAAUUUGUAUGAAAAUAAUAUAAGUUAGGGUUUGUUUUGUAAAUUAAUGUGUACGUAAUUAUUGCUUAAAUAAAUUGUAUGUGUGAUGUGAA